AUGAACGCUGGCGGCGUGCCUAAUACAUGCAAGUCGAGCGAACGGACGAGAAGCUUGCUUCUCUGAUGUUAGCGGCGGACGGGUGAGUAACACGUGGAUAACCUACCUAUAAGACUGGGAUAACUUCGGGAAACCGGAGCUAAUACCGGAUCAUAUUUUGAACCGCCUGGUUCAAACGUGAACGCCGGUCUUGCUGUCACUUAUCGAUGGAUCCGCGCUGCAUUAGCUAGUUGGUAAGGUAACGGCUUACCAAGGCAACGAUGCAUAGCCGACCUGAGAGGGUGAUCGGCCACACUGGAACUGAGACACGGUCCAGACUCCUACGGGAGGCAGCAGUAGGGAAGGUGCCUGAAUGGGCGAAAGCCUGAAGGAGUAAAGCCGCGUGAGUGAUGAAGGUCUUCGGAUCGUAAAACUCUGUCAUUAGGGAAGAACAUAUGUGUAAGUAACUGUGCACAUCGUGACGGUACCUAAGCAGAAAGCCACGGCUAACUACGUG
rnacentral:rRNA from 1 species